rnacentral:lncRNA from 1 species
GUGUUCAUCCUCAACCUUUAUGUAUGUUAUGUAUUAUCAUAAAAUACAACUUACAUUUCAAUAUCAAGGAUGAACACGAAUGCGGCCACUUUCGUUUUACACGAAAACCGUCUAAAAUUUAACUAAAAUGCUAGAAUUAUGAGGAUUUCAGUAAUUUAGCAUGACUUAAUGGUGCUAGUACCGGAUAUAUGUGCAUUGUAUUGUCAAAAACAGCCCAUAUUUAUGUAGCAGAAGCAUUCUACUGUCCAAUAAAUAACUAAAGGUUUACAUUUUAACAAUUUUGUAAAACUGCUAUAUUUUGGGGCCAAAAAGGGGUCUUACUGAACCUACUCCUUUCGAAAAAGUUAA